CUCCCCGUCCUUGAGUCCUUUCAUGAAGUCUAAAGUUAACACUGAAUUAGUUCAUUAAGCAUUUCUCUGCAGUUGUGCAGCACUUGGCCUACACUGUAAAAAGUCCUUCAAUGGCCCUGUCCAUACGACUUCAUUUUAAAAUGUAAAUUUCUUUGAAAAAUUUAAUUUUCUUUUCCUUUCUAUUUAAGUUACAGAAAAUUUAAGUGUAAAUUUUCCAGUAACUUGCCAUUUGUUGCCAUUUUGUUGUACUUCCUAAUUGAUUUCACAAAACUCAGUUUAAGGACCUAUGUCACAAGUAAAUUGUCAGGACACGCCUACAUUUCAGUUAGUAACCAUAGCAACAGCUGAACUCGUCUGGGCGUGUCCCACACGCGGCUGUAACGGCUGGGCUGUAACGGAGGUGACCAAACUGCAGUGCUGACCUGACCAGCUUUUUCAGCAGAGCUGAGGACAAACACUAAACAUAUGAGACCACCAGAUCUCCUCCAAGGAGCAUAUCCGCUACCCCACAAAGCACUUUGUGUCAUUCAGAGACACAUUAGGGAACUGCAGAGUGCAGCGUGCAUGAGGACCUGAAAAUGCAGUUUGAGGAUCUAGCCUAUGCUAGCCAUGAACCAGAUGUGGUGGGCAUCAUCGAGGGAAUCCAGUGCUUAAAGAUCUUGACAAUCUGACCAGAAUCUCCAGUAUCCAUCCAAUCUUUUGAAGACUUUUUGUGGGACUCAACGCACUUCGCCCAAAACCAACUGCCAAGUUAAUAAGCCUCAACAAGCUUCUCGCAAAGAUUGUUGGCCUUGCACUGAAAACAGACGAAGUUUUGUUUCUGUUGAGGAAUGUUAUACAUUUUCUUGGCCUGAUGUGUGAUUUUUCAGACUGUUGCACCUGAAGGCCUUUCAAGGAUUGUUUGUGGGACUCUGCACUGGGUCCUCAACUAACCUCCAUGGUCAUUAGUUUCACUAACAAGUUUCAAGCUUAGACAGUGAAACAUGACAGUCACACUGGCUGUCACAGAUUUUUUUUCUUUUAUCAAGUGUUUUAAUAGUCACUGAAAUACUGUCACAAUAUUGUAUCAAGCUGCAGUUUGUAAGCUGAGGUCACAAGUUGUAGUAUGUAAAAUGUUAACAAUAUUAAACCAUAACUCACAAUGUGUAAAAACACAGUUGCAGCUUCUGUCUUCUAGCGCAGCUUUUGUUCUGUUACCAGUGAUGUCAAAUGAUGCCUGAGGCAGACUGUUGGCUGUAUUUUUGAAAUGGUAAAAUUUGUCUCUUCAAGAUUACUGUUUAUACACAGAAGAGGUGCUGGAAAGGUGUUCUACUACACAUAGGCUGUGGUCAGAAGAUUGUCAAUUUUGCAUAACUGCAUUUAAUGGCUUUUAAUAAAUGUUGGAAACAAUA